rnacentral:snRNA from 1 species
AUCACUUCUGAGCCUUUUGGCUAAGAUCAAGUGUAGUAUCUGUUCUUACCAGUAAAAGGGAAUUUCUUGAAAUACAUAAAAACACAAGAGACAACUCCAU